CAGUAGAAAACAGAUGAAUACACCUAGAUUUCUUCCUGCGUGAAUCCAGUUGAGGGGAAGGUAUAAAAUUUUCAAAUGGAGGAGUAUACCUGAACCUAAUCAUGGAUGUGAUUUUAUGGUCUCGCUUUGUCACCUAGCAGUGUAGUGGUGUAAUCACAGCUCACUGCAGCCUCGACCUCCUGGGCGCAAGGAAUCUUCCAGCCUCAGCCACCCAAGUAGCUGAGACUACAAAUACAGAUAAGCUGAUUCUAAAACUUACAAGAAUGGCAAAGAAACAAGAAGAGCUUAAACUGCAAUCAUCAACAGAGAAGCUUUCUGCAACCAAAGUGAAGACUGAAGCCUUAGGCUAUGGCAGAAGUUGGGCGCCUGAAGUACACGUGGAAAUAUGCCAACUGAACAUUGGACUACCACGUCAAGGGUCUCCUACCCCUGGGCCAUGGAUCAAUACCAGUCUGUGACCUGUUAGGAACCGGUAGCAGGAGCGCCUGCCCCUGGCUCAGCGCCCGGUGCCAACAGAACACCUUUCAGGAUCCACAGCAACGCAGACAACGGAACUCACAAGGGCUUCGGUUCUCAAGAGGCCAUCAAAACAUAACUGCUGCCGAGACAAUACCUUUCCUUCCCCUCACUACAUUCACUGAAUGUUCUGGAUCAGUGCGUCUCACACCUUUGGAUCUUAUAAGCUACUUGGAAAA
rnacentral:lncRNA from 1 species